rnacentral:tRNA from 1 species
GGCUUUUGUAGCUCAGUGGUAGAGCACUACACUUUUAAUGUAGCCGCGGGAAACCGCCUGAAGUUUGAUCUCUUCUAAAAAAGAUCGCCA